GAAGACAGGUAGCCUAACCGCAAGGAGGGCGCUACCACGGUGAGAUUCAUCGACUGGGGUG
rnacentral:rRNA from 1 species